rnacentral:rRNA from 1 species
AGAACGAACGCUGGCGGCAUGCCUAACACAUGCAAGUCGGACGCUUUCGGGGGUUUCGGCCUCCGAGGGAGUGGCGGACGGGUGAGUAGCGCGUGGGAACCUGCCCCUUUGUGGGGAUAACCGAGGGAAACUUCGGCUAAUACCGCAUGCGCCCGGGGGUAACUCCGGGGAAAGAUUUAUCGCAGAGGGAGGGGCCCGCGUCGGAUUAGGUAGUUGGUGGGGUAACGGCCUACCAAGCCGGUGAUCCGUAGCUGGUCUGAGAGGAUGAUCAGCCACACUGGGACUGAGACACGGCCCAGACUCCUACGGGAGGCAGCAGUGGGGAAUAUUGGACAAUGGGCGCAAGCCUGAUCCAGCAAUGCCGCGUGAGUGAUGAAGGCCUUAGGGUUGUAAAGCUCUUUCGGCGGGGACGAUGAUGACGGUACCGCAGAAGAAGCCCGGCUAACUCGUGCCAGCAGCCGC